UACAUGAUGUGAAUGUGUUGCUGUUCCAGGAUGAUUGCUGUGCUGUUUCCGUGAUGAAGACUCUGGCUCCAUCUGUUCCGGAUCUGACCGCUGCUCUCGGUUCCUUGCAUAUGGCGAACACAGGACGCCUCCCUGUUAAUUACAGAGGAGUUACCGGAGCGCAUCGUCUGAUGAUGGAGUAAAGGUUCACACACACACACACACACCGAGGAAUAAGAGCGACAUGCACUGGACUCAGGACUGCUGCGUCUUAAAGGUACAGUCCCCUCUGUGAAGGGCUUUCCCGCUGCAUCCUCCCACCCAGAGGAGGCGCCACGUGUCAGGUCGUGGAUGGGUCCUGAGAUCACUGGACAGCAUGUAAAGACCCUGACGCCGAUAUUAAAACACCACAACAAAUGCUCCGUGGUUUCGCUCGACACAUUCCACCCUGCUU